CCUACGGGAGGCAGCAGUGAGGAAUAUUGGUCAAUCGACGAGAGUCUGAACCAGCCAAGUAGCGUGAAGGAUGACUGCCCUAUGGGUUGUAAACUUCUUUUAUAUGGGAAUAAAACGUUCCACGUGUGGGAUUUUGUAUGUACCAUAUGAAUAAGGAUCGGCUAACUCCGUGCCAGCAGCCGCGGUAAUACGGAGGAUCCGAGCGUUAUUCGGAUUUAUUGGGUUUAAAGGGAGCGUAGGUGGAUUGUUAAGUCAGUUGUGAAAGUUUGCGGCUCAACCGUAAAAUUGCAGUUGAAACUGGCAGUCUUGAGUACAGUAGAGGUGGGCGGAAUUCGUGGUGUAGCGGUGAAAUGCUUAGAUAUCACGAAGAACUCCGAUUGCGAAGGCAGUUCACUGGACUGCAACUGACACUGAGGCUCGAAAGUGUGGGUAUCAAACAGGAUUAGAUACCCUAGUAGUC
rnacentral:rRNA from 1 species